rnacentral:piRNA from 1 species
UGAUGAACUUUGACGUGCCUCGCGUC